rnacentral:rRNA from 1 species
AACGAACGCUGGCGGCAGGCUUAACACAUGCAAGUCGAGCGCCCCGCAAGGGGAGCGGCAGACGGGUGAGUAACGCGUGGGAACAUACCCUUUCCUGCGGAAUAGCUCCGGGAAACUGGAAUUAAUACCGCAUACGCCCUACGGGGGAAAGAUUUAUCGGGGGAAGGAUUGGGCCCGCGUUGGAUUAGCUAGUUGGUGGGGUAAAGGCCUACCAAGGCGACGAUCCAUAGCUGGUCUGAGAGGAUGAUCAGCCACAUUGGGACUGAGACACGGCCCAAACUCCUACGGGAGGCAGCAGUGGGGAAUAUUGGACAAUGGGCGCAAGCCCUGAUCCAGCCAUGCCGCGUGAGUGAUGAAGGCCUUAGGGUUGUAAAGCUCUUUCACCGGAGAAGAUAAUGACGGUAUCCGGAGAAGAAGCCCCGGCUAACUUCGUGCCAGCAGCCGCGGUAAUACGAAGGG